UUGAUUGAUUUAAAACCUCUACUCAAUGCUAAUCAAUGGAUAUCGAACUAUCCAAAACAUUCUUCCAGAAUUAUAGAACAAGCAAACCCAACGAUCAUGAAAUGAUCUUUACGAUGGGGCAAUGCUCAUUCAAUACGAACAAAGUUGCUCACUAGACAGCAAAUGACGGUUGUGUGUGUGCGAUACUCAAGAUGUACUCAAAAUGGUGUCAUCGCUGCGGUAUGCUAUUCGUUGAUUAGCUGUUCCUCGUUUGAAAAGCGAUUUUUUUAAUUUACAGCGACCACAUUAUGUGACUGCUUGGAAUUCAUCACGUGUGCUACACCAAACUACGAUUCUGAAAUGCAUCACGAUGGAAACGAAUUCCACAGUCACGGCGAACAAGUAUUGUAGAUAAUCUCAUUUCUAACAAACAUUGGUUUGAAGUGAAUAUUACACAGAAACAUUAUAAGUUGAAGAGUAUUGAAAUUGUCAACAUGAAGAGAGCGUAUAAUAGAAAAUUGGCAUUGAAGAUUCAUGUUGGUCUUACUCUGGCACAUGUGUGUUCAACAUCCAGGACUAAACUUGCUUGCUAAAAUAAUAGUAUCUAAUCAUCGAUUGGACCUAUAUUACGACCAAACAAAACUAAAGGUUUCUGAUAUAACCUAAAAGCGUCGAUGAAAAAAAGGUUGAUCGGUGACACGGGGUAGUUGUUACCUUUCCGAUGGUAUUGGAGAUCCAAUGUCAUACAGCGACAUUUUGCGUAAAUGAUGCGUCAUCCAGUCAUGAGAAAUGUUUAUACAGAACCGCGUUUUUUUAUAAUCUUCCAACGACUCAGGCUGGCUGUACAUUGAGGCAUACUUAAUGUGAAACACGUUUGAUUGUCAGCUGGCGCAAGGAAAGUGAUCCAUUCAUUAUAUUUACACAAUCCGACGAAAGAUCAUUAACAGUUGUUUAGACAUGUAGAGUCAUAUUAAGGAUAGUAAUAUUGAAAACGCUUUCUUUGAAGCAUUCGAAUUUCCUUUCAACAUGUGUAUCUUUAGUCAAAUCGUUCAAGUCAAUCGUUGUUCAUGUUCAAGGUAAAUAUAUUUCCAAUAAAUAAAUAAAGAGAACAUGUCUAACCGGAUUUCACAGCAUGAGAAGUAGCUUGCUGGAGAAACGAACACCUGUCUCUGUCUGGAUAUUUAAACACACUCUUAUACCAUUUUCAAAAGCAUCAGCCGACUAUACCUUUGCUUCAAAUGUGGAAGGGUAGACCGGAUUAACCUUGACUCAUUUUCGGUACAAUCGUCGCUGUGGGCCUCUCUUACGUCGCUUCUCUUGCGUUACGAUGAAUGCGGCUGCAGAACCAGUAUAACACGGACACAAACACCCAAUGCUUGUUACCAUUGCGAGAAGAGAGCUUAGGAUGCUCACCUCGAUCGACUACACAUCCAUUUUCUUAUCAGUAGCACCAGCCUGCAGCCUGUUGAGCUAUGUUAGUGAUCAUUGAAAUUCGGCAUAAUCGUCCCAUAUAACAACAUUUAUGUUUUGGAAUAGAAAUGCUAACCUUAUCAUAGAAACACCAAACGUAGAUAGAUAUUGUAUAAAUAUAUGUUGGGACGGUCCAAACAACUAUUAUAUAAAAAUGGUAUAUCAUUUCGUUAAAAUCGUUCUAUAACCAGACUUUAUAAAUCCGUGAUUAUACCAUUAUCACAAAAUGUGUCGCAGCAUAACUGCCACUGACUUGUUUGUGUUGUAGCUAACUUUGGCUCAACAACAUUUACCGAGCAAAUGCGACUUUACAAAAUUGUUCGAAACCCUCGUCCGUGGUUAUCUCUCGGGAUUGCCACUAUGAAAAUGACCGCUAAGUGCAACUUUGCGAAAGCAGUAACACCAUCGCCGGCUAUUCGCCACAAAGCUGCGACCUUUACAAAAACGAUAACUAUUACCCAGCAACUUUAGGAAACCUCUCUCUACGUGUCAGAUUGAACUUUCCUCUCUUGCCCUUUCCAUUUCCCGGCCAUCUCUUCAAACAGGUUAUCGUAACCUCUGGAACGAUUUCAGAACAGCCAACCUAA